UACGGAAGGCAGCAGUGGGGAAUAUUGCACAAUGGGCGCAAGCCUGAUGCAGCCAUGCCGCGUGUAUGAAGAAGGCCUUAGGGUUGUAAAGUACUUUCAUCGGGGAGGAAAAAACAAAAACUAAUAAUUUUAUUUCUUGACGUUACCCGAAAAAGAAGCACCGGCUAACUCCGUGCCAGCAGCCGCGGUAAUACGGAGGGUGCUAGCGUUAAUCAGAAUUACUGGGCGUAAAGAGCACGUAGGUGGUUUUUUUAAGUUCAGAUGUGAAAUCCCUGGGCUUAACCUAGGAACUGCAUUUUGAAACUGAAAUACUAGAGUAUCGUAGAGGGAGGUAGAAUUCUAGGUGUAGCGGUGAAAUGCGUAGAUAUCUGGAGGAAUACCUGUGGCGAAAGCGGCCUCCUAAACGAAUACUGACACUGAGGUGCGAAAGCGUGGGGAGCAAACAGGGAUUAGAUACC
rnacentral:rRNA from 1 species